CUGGGCGUAAAGCGUGCGCAGGCGGAUUGUUAAGCAAGACGUGAAAGCCCCGGGCUUAACCUGGGAAUGGCGUUUUGAACUGGCAGUCUAGAGUGCGUCAGAGGGGGGUGGAAUCCCACGUGUAGCAGUGAAAUGCGUAGAGAUGUGGAGGAACACCAAUGGCGAAGGCAGCCCCCUGGGAUGACACUGACGCUCAUGUACGAAAGCGUGGGUAGCAAACAGGAUUAGAUACCCUGGUAGUCCACGCCCUAAACGAUGUCAACUGGUUGUUGGGGGAGUGAAAUCCCUUAGUAACGAAGCUAACGCGUGAAGCUGACCGCCUGGGGAGUGCGGUCGCAAGAUUAAAACUCAAAGGAAUUGACGGGGACCCGCACAAGCGGUGGAUGAUGUGGAUUAAUUCGAUGCAACGCGAAAAACCUUACCUACCCUUGACACGUCCAGGAUCCUGCAGAGAUGCGGGAGUGCCCGAAAGGGAAUUGGAACACAGGUGCUGCAUGGCUGUCGUCAGCUCGUGUCGUGAGAUGUUGGGUUAAGUCCCGCAACGAGCGCAACCCUUAUCAUUAGUUGCUACGCAAGGGCACUCUAAUGAGACUGCCGGUGACAAAUCGGAGGAAGGUGGGGAUGACGUCAAGUCCUCAUGGCCCUUAUGGGUAGGGCUUCACACGUCAUACAAUGGUCGGUACAGAGGGUUGCCAAGCCGCGAGGUGGAGCCAAUCCCAGAAAGCCGAUCGUAGUCCGGAUUGUUCUCUGCAACUCGAGAGCAUGAAGUCGGAAUCGCUAGUAAUCGCGGAUCAGCAUGUCGCGGUGAAUACG
rnacentral:rRNA from 1 species